AAGCCCGGGGCUCAACCUCGGAACAGCAUUUUGAACUGGCAGACUAGAGUACUGUAGAGGGGGGUAGAAUUUCAGGUGUAGCGGUGAAAUGCGUAGAGAUCUGAAGGAAUACCGGUGGCGAAGGCGGCCCCCUGGACAGAUACUGACACUCAGAUGCGAAAGCGUGGGGAGCAAACAGGAUUAGAUACCCUGGUAGUCCACGCCGUAAACGAUGUCUACUUGGAGGUUGUGGCCUUGAGCCGUGGCUUUCGGAGCUAACGCGUUAAGUAGACCGCCUGGGGAGUACGGUCGCAAGAUUAAAACUCAAAUGAAUUGACGGGGGCCCGCACAAGCGGUGGAGCAUGUGGUUUAAUUCGAUGCAACGCGAAGAACCUUACCUACUCUUGACAUCCAGAGAACUUUCCAGAGAUGGAUUGGUGCCUUCGGGAACUCUGAGACAGGUGCUGCAUGGCUGUCGUCAGCUCGUGUUGUGAAAUGUUGGGUUAAGUCCCGCAACGAGCGCAACCCUUAUCCUUGUUUGCCAGCACGUAAUGGUGGGAACUCCAGGGAGACUGCCGGUGAUAAACCGGAGGAAGGUGGGGAC
rnacentral:rRNA from 1 species